rnacentral:rRNA from 1 species
GAGCGAUGAGGUCUCCUUCGGGGGACACAUCAGCGGCAGACGGGUGAGUAACACGUAAGUAACCUACCCCAGAGACAGGGAUAACCCUAGGAAACGAGGGCUAAUACCGGAUGACCUCCGGAAGGAGGAAAGGCUGAGGCGCUCUGGGAGGGGCUUGCGGCCCAUCAGCUAGUUGUGUAGGGUAACGGCCUACCAAGGCGAAGACGGGUAGGGGGUGUGAGAGCACGGGCCCCCACAAUGGUACUGAAACACGGCCCAUACUCCUACGGGAGGCAGCAGCAGGGAAUAUUGCACAAUAGGCGGAAGCCUGAUGCAGCGACGCCGCGUGAGUGAAGAAGGCCUUCGGGUCGUACAGCUCUUUUGUAGGGGAAGAGGCAAUGACGGUACCCUAAGAAAAAGCGUCGGUUAACUACGUGCCAGCAGCCGCGGUAAGACGUAGGACGCGAGCGUUAUCCGGAAUUACUGGGCGUAUAGGCCAGCAGGCGGCUUGGUAAGUUGUGCGUGAAAGCCUCGUGCUCAACGCGAGGAAGCCGGACAAUACUGUCAAGCUAGAGGGCAUCAGAGGGGAGUGAAAUUCCCGGGAGUAGCGGUAAAAUGCGCAGAUAUCGGGAGGACACCGAUGGUGAGGGCAGUUCCCUGGGAUGCACCUGACGCUAAGAGGCGAAAGCUAGGGGAGCGAACAGGAUUAGAGACCCUGGUAGUCCU